rnacentral:rRNA from 1 species
UACGAAGGGGGCUAGCGUUGCUCGGAAUCACUGGGCGUAAAGCGCACGUAGGCGGAUUGUUAAGUCAGGGGUGAAAUCCUGGAGCUCAACUCCAGAACUGCCCUUGAUACUGGCUGUCUUGAGUUCGGGAGAGGUGGGUGGAAUUCCACGUGUAGCAGUGAAAUGCGUAGAGAUGUGGAGGAACACCGAUGGCGAAGGCAGCCCCCUGGGCUGACACUGACGCUCAGGCACGAAAGCGUGGGGAGCAAACAGG